rnacentral:tRNA from 1 species
AGAGAGGUGGCCGAGUGGUCGAAGGCGCACGCCUGGAAAGUGUGUAUACGCCAAAAGCGUAUCGAGGGUUCGAAUCCCUUCCUCUCUGCCA